rnacentral:tRNA from 1 species
UCCCGUGUGGCUCAGUUGGUAGAGCAUGGUGUUUGCAACGCUAGGGUUGUGGGUUUGAUUCCCACAGGGGAC